UUUCCUUAUGCCUUGAACCAGUGUCUUUCCUCCUGGUAGCUCGAGAGAAAGACUCACUGCAGCAAAUCCAUUUCCUCUGACAGCAUCUCCUCCAGAUGGAUAUAUAUCAGCAAUGCACAGGGAACUGAAACAACGUGGUGCUGGCUAGAAGGGGUGAGAUGAGCCGAUGCUCCUAUCAGUGGCAUUGCAGGAGGGAUGACUUUGGAAUAUAGACACCGUAAUUGAUGCUCUGAGGGGCUGAGGAAGAAAGUUCAUUCGAGAAUCUGAGAAAAAGGAGGAAUCAGACUGAGCUGGGACUUGCAGCGUCGCAAGACCCAAAUGAAAUCAGG